CGGCUUACCAAGACUUCGAUAGAUAGGGGGCCUGAGAGGGUGAACCCCCACACUGGUACUGAGACACGGACCAGACUCCUACGGGAGGCAGCAGUGAGGAAUAUUGGACAAUGGAGGCAACUCUGAUCCAGCCAUGCCGCGUGCAGGAAGAAUGCCCUAUGGGUUGUAAACUGCUUUUAUUUAGGAAGAAACGCCAGUACGUGUACUGGUUUGACGGUACUAAACGAAUAAGGACCGGCUAACUCCGUGCCAGCAGCCGCGGUAAUACGGAGGGUCCAAGCGUUAUCCGGAAUCAUUGGGUUUAAAGGGUCCGCAGGCGGGCUAUUAAGUCUGUGGUGAAAUCUCUUGGCUUAACCAAGAAAUUGCCAUUGAAACUACUAGUCUUGAAUUCGGUCGAAGUGGGCGGAAUGUGUCAUGUAGCGGUGAAAUGCAUAGAUAUGACACAGAACACCGAUAGCGAAGGCAGCUCACUAGGCCUGAAUUGACGCUCAGGGACGAAAGCGUGGGGAGCGAACAGGAUUAGAUACCCUGGUAGUCCACGCCGUAAACGAUCAUUACUCGAUAUCAGCGAUAUACAGUUGGUGUCUAAGCGAAAGUGAUAAGUAAUGCACCUGGGGAGUACGAUCGCAAGGUUGAAACUC
rnacentral:rRNA from 1 species